UAGAGUUUGAUCAUGGCUCAGAUUGAACGCUGGCGGUAUGCUUAACACAUGCAAGUCGAACGGAAACGAUACUAGCUUGCUAGUAGGCGUCGAGUGGCGGACGGGUGAGUAACGCGUAGGAAUCUACCAGAUAGUGGGGGAUAGCCCGGAGAAAUUCGGAUUAAUACCGCAUAAUCUCUACGGAGUAAAGGAGGCCUCUAUUUAUAUGCUUUCGCUAUCUGAUGAGCCUGCGUAAGAUUAGCUAGUUGGUGAGGUAAAAGCUCACCAAGGCGACGAUCUUUAGCUGGUCUGAGAGGAUGAUCAGCCACACUGGGACUGAGACACGGCCCAGACUCCUACGGGAGGCAGCAGUGGGGAAUAUUGGACAAUGGGGGCAACCCUGAUCCAGCAAUACCGCGUGUGUGAAGAAGGCCUGAGGGUUGUAAAGCACUUUCAAUUGUGAAGAAAAGUUAAUA
rnacentral:rRNA from 1 species